ensembl:lncRNA
GUUUACUGUGGGAAGAUGGAAGGUCUUCAUUAUGAUUAAUCCAGAUUUUUUUAUUAUUUCCUGAAGCUCUUCUCUGAGUUAAUGCAGUCUUUUCUCUCUGCUGUGUGGGACUGCCUCAUAUUGUCAUGCAUUAUAUAACGGGUGCCCACUGCCUUGGUCUUGUCAUCAUGGAGGCGUGAGUUGUGGAAAUUACCACGAAGGCAGGGAGUUCCCCCACAAUCCUGAAGAAGGAGUAAGCGGUAGAAGAUGGAUGGAUGGCUGGAUGGACUCAUCCAUUUAUUGGUUGUUGUUAACCUGGGCUAACCAUAUCUUUAUAAACCUUGCUUUAUGUUCAAAGGCAUUGUCAGGCUGGAACAGAUUUCAGCUUGGUAUCUUAGUUCCAGUAAUGGGAAAUCUUAAUGUUACAGCAUACAAAGACAUUUCAGACAAUUCUGUGUACUUUGUAACAAUGCCUCAUUUUGAAGAAGGCCAACAUGUG